AUGUCAGGGGAGGAGAUAUCCGAGAGGAAGCUCUUUAAGGAGAAGAUGGAGUUCCUCCCGCCACCACCUCCUAUGGCUGUCAAGGGAGCUGUGCCCAACAUGCUCUCCUUCUUCACCACCCCUUGCCUUCUUCUGGCGCCCGGUCGGCGUGAUGAAGGCAUUGAUCCGCUACCCAACACCAACUGCCCCGCACCGCCAGAAUACUACCUGGAGAAGAGAGGGUACGGCAGCUACGCCAGGCAAGUGUACGGCUUGAACUUCCUUUACACCCUGCUGACCGAAAGGUUGAUGUGCAAACACUGUCUCAAGCUGAGGGAGGAGCCGAGCCAGGCGCACGCGAACGACGACGAGGAGGACGGUGCCCACCGUUCCCAGCAGCAGUACACCUGGCUGCCGUACAGUCCGAAAAUUCUAACAAACCUCGCCCCGGCAGUCAGAAUCAUGUUCCCGGCCAUAAUCUGCGGCAAGCGUGCUGUGGACAGGAGUGUGGUCAGCCUGAUGAGCGACCGACUCAACGCUGUCUCGAUGAGCAAGGUGCAGAGGCUGCUGCAGCAGGGCCACGUUGAGUGGUACGUGGAGCGUCGGGACCUGUACCAGACUCUCCUGUACGAUGCCCACACGUCGGCGGCUGGAUCGUCUUCAUCUCAGCAAGGCAUCCUGUCGUUUGCCAGAGCAGCCGGCACUUACACCCCUCCCAUCGCCCCGCCUCCCCUUCCGUUCUUGUGCAUCGACGGCACGAGGAAGAUUCUCAAGAAGAUCUACGGCGACGGCCAGGGCACCAUGCAGUACGUCACCAGCGUGCUGAAUGAGUGGGGUCAGUUCUUGACCACAGUGGUGGUGGUGUUCGAGUCCGAGGGCUGCUACGCACGCAUGGCCAGAGGUCUGGUCACCCGCUUUCGCCAUGCCAACGCUCCUGCUCCAAAGGUGGUGUACGCGGACAACAACUGCUGUCGGUGA
rnacentral:lncRNA from 1 species